AUUGAACGCUGGCGGCAUGCUUUACACAUGCAAGUCGAACGGCAGCACGGGGGGCAACCCUGGUGGCGAGUGGCGAACGGGUGAGUAACACAUCGGAACGUGUCCAGUUGUGGGGGAUAACCCAUCGAAAGGUGGGCUAAUACCGCAUGAGCUGGCAACAGGAAAGCGGGGGACCCGCAAGGGCCUUGUGCGAUUGGAGCGGCCGAUGUCCGAUUAGCUAGUUGGUGGGGUAAAGGCCUACCAAGGCUUCGAUCGGUAGCUGGUCUGAGAGGAUGAUCAGCCACACUGGGACUGAGACACGGCCCAGACUCC
rnacentral:rRNA from 1 species